GGACCUGUGAGUCUGGGUCUGCGGCGCGGCCUUGCCCCACGCAUCCCCGACAAGGGCGUCACUUCCCCGCUAAAGAAUCCCACGCUCUGUCCCUGUCCCCGCUGCUGCCUGUCUGCCCCGUGUCACGCUGUCUCCUCCGUGGGGCACCUCGCAGGGACUCCUGGGAAGACCGGCAUGUGCAGCCCUCUCUUCUGGGGACCCCCAGUGACCUGAGGACAGGCCCAGGAGACAGGAGGGAAACCGAGGCAUGGGAGCGCAUCCUGUCGUGUCUGCAGUGCUGGAGAGGACGUCACUGUGAGCAGCUCCAAGCGCCAGAGCCUCCGAGGCUCCGGCAGAGCCAGGCUGGUGGUGAGGGCUACAGACCGCCGGCCCAGACUUCAGGAACACACCAUCCCUCUGGGCUGAGACUGCAGGUCUGUGAUCCGGGCAUUCGCAGAGACUGAGAGCAGCGUCCCCACUCUGUCCUGGCCAUCAGCAGCAUCUCAGCCUUCAUGUGUACGGUGUCCCCAGAGUCUGCAGAGACGUCCCUGUGUAUCCGGACACUGGGCAUCAGUCCACAUAACCCAGGCCAGCCUCGAUCUCCCCGGGAUCUUCCUGCCUCAGCCUCCCGAGUGCUACAAUCACAGGCACCACUACGCUGGGCUCCUUUUUCACUGGCUUAUUUUAUAUUAAGAAGGACUGUGAGAAUCUCUCUAGGCGGAUAGUUUCAGUUCUUCUACAGGAGAUGCAGGUGACCCCUGACCUGCAGAGCACCCCCGGGGCCAGGCCAUCAGGGGGACUCCAGAGGGGCCCAAGGCCGCCGCUGACCAGGGCAGACCCAAGUGGGCGUGGUGAAGUCAGCAGUGUGGAUGCUGCCUGGGCUCUGUGUCCCCAGAGGCGCUGAGGGAGCCCUGCAGCCCAGCUCCAUGCCAGCUGGACCCUGGGGCUCCACUGGGCCGGAUGCCACCUGGGCUGGUGGCCCACUGGCCACCUUCCUGAGCCGGGUGCCUCCCCAGCAGCAGAGCUGCCAGCUGGCUCUCUCCGUUCCUCCCCAGGUGAGCUGCUGGAGCAGCCUGUGAGGCCCCCGCUGAGGCUGUGCACACUGAGACCAGGGUGCUGCUCAGGCUGGCCUCGAACUUUCAGUCCUCCUGCCUCAGCCUCCCAAGUAGCUGGGAUCACAGGUGUGGCCCCCCCGCCCCAUCUCCCCCCCGGACAUUUUCGGGGGUCACUGGGCUGCUGUGGGAGGCAAGGCUGACUGAGGGCUGAGGGGACCCACCCGGGAUCCCCCAGGGAAGCAGCCUGCGGUGCUGGGUGCCACUCGUGGUGGUGCAGCCCCAGGCGUCUGGGGCAGGACUCAACUCCACACCCAGGGGUCUCUGCUCUGGCUCUCACCGAGGUGCCUGCCCCAGGGCAUCGUGGGAGGGACGGGGUUAAGCAGGGCACACGCCGUGGCCACAGCUGAGCUGGGGAGGGCAGAGGGGUGGGGGCAGGGCUCGCACAGCUGGGCGCCCGCCUGUGGGGGACCCCAAAGCCCAGGCAGCUGGCCAGGGGGAUCCCAGAUUCCCAGGAGAUGAGGUCACCCGGCCUCCACCAAUCAGGCCUCCCAGCACCAAGAAAGGGUUUUUCCCGGCCAGGAAUGCAGAGGUUUCCAUGGCCAAGGAGGGAGGAGCCCUGGGCCCCGCCAGAGACCGGCAGCCCAGCCUGGCUGGAGAGACGGGAUGCUGGGCAGCCAGGGAGGGGGAGGCGGGGUGGGGACAGACACGUCCGCAUUGUCUGGUGGCCAGGACACCGGACCGGGGAGGCCAGCGGCUCUGCCACCCCAGGCCUGGCCACGUGGGCUUUUCUUUUCUUAGGAAAGGUAAAAAGCAGGCUCUGCUUAAAUUCUUUCAACCCCAGAUGGACGAUUUUCCCAAUAAACUAGGACGUGGCAGCCAAUAAUCGCUGCACUUGGGAGGCUGAGGCGGGAGGAUCGCUGUGAGUUUGUGAAUAUCCUGGGCUACAUAGCAAGAUUUUGUCUCAAAAAAAUAAAAUAAAAU
rnacentral:lncRNA from 1 species